rnacentral:rRNA from 1 species
GUAAGCUACAAAGAGCAAGUGGUGGAUGCCUUGGCUAGUAGAGGCGAUGAAAGACGUGCCAGGCUGCGAUAAGUCUCGGGGAGCCGUCAAGGGGCUUUGAUCCGGGAAUUUCUGAACCGUAUAACGGAGCGAACGAGGGGAAUUGAAACAUCUUAGUACCCUCAGGAAAAGAAAUCAAAAGAGAUUACGCUAGUAGCGGCGAGCGAACGCGUAAGAGGGCAAACCACUAGUUUACUAGUGGGGUUGUAGGACUGCAAUAUAGACUAAACUUAGCUAAUAGAACGACCUGGAAAGGUUAGGCACAGAGGGUGAUACCCCCGUAUAUGAAAGCUUUGUUUUACUUAGCAGUAUCCUGAGUAGGGCGGAACACGUGAUAUUCUGUCUGAAGCUGGGUAGACCACUAUCCAACCCUAAAUACUACUACUAGACCGAUAGUGCACAAGUACCGUGAGGGAAAGGUGAAAAGAACUGAGGUGAUCAGAGUGAAAUAGAACCUGAAACCAUUUGCGUGUAAGAGCCGGUGGAGGACCGAACCCGCUAGCGUUGAAAAGCUAUGGGAUGACUUGUGGAUAGGGGUGAAAGGCCAAUCAAACAUCGUGAUAGCUGGUUCUCUCCGAAAUAUAUUUAGGUAUAGCGUCAUGUAGUAACACUAGGGGGUAGAGCACUGAAUGGGCUAGGGCAUACACCAAUGUACCAAACCCUAUCAAACUCCGAAUACCUAGUGUGUAAUCAUGGCAGUCAGGCGGCGAGUGAUAAAAUCCGUCGUCGAGAGGGGAACAACCCAGACUAACAGCUAAGGUCCCUAAAUCUCAUUUAAGUGGAAAACGAUGUGGAGUUACUUAAACAACCAGGAGGUUGGCUUAGAAGCAGCCAUCCUUUAAAGAAAGCGUAAUAGCUCACUGGUCUAGUGAUUCUGCGCGGAAAAUAUAACGGGGCUAAAAUGAGUACCGAAGCUUUAGACUUAGUUUUACUAAGUGGUAGGAGAGCGUUGUAUUUGCGUUGAAGGUAUACCGGUAAGGAGUGCUGGAGCGAAUACAAGUGAGCAUGCAGGCAUGAGUAGCGAUAAUUGGGGUGAGAAUCCCCAACGCCGUAAACCCAAGGUUUCCUACGCGAUGCUCGUCAUCGUAGGGUUAGCCGGGUCCUAAGCAAAGUCCGAAAGGGGUAUGCGAUGGAAAAUUGGUUAAUAUUCCAAUGCCAACUAUAAUGUGCGAUGGAAGGACGCUUAGAGUUAAGGUGUGCCUAACUUUGUGAAGGAUUUACUCCGUAAGCAUUGAAGGUUACAACAAAGAGUCCCUCCCGACUGUUUACCAAAAACACAGCACUCUGCUAACUCGUAAGAGGAUGUAUAGGGUGUGACGCCUGCCCGGUGCUCGAAGGUUAAUUGAUGACGUUAGCUCUGCGAAGCGUUUGAUCGAAGCCCGAGUAAACGGCGGCCGUAACUAUAACGGUCCUAAGGUAGCGAAAUUCCUUGUCGAUUAAAUAUCGACCUGCAUGAAUGGCGUAACGAGAUGGGAGCUGUCUCGAAGAGGGAUCCAGUGAAAUUGUAGUGGAGGUGAAAAUUCCUCCUACCCGCGGCAAGACGGAAAGACCCCGUGGACCUUUACUACAGCUUGACACUGCUAUUGGGAUAAAAAUGUGCAGGAUAGGCGGGAGGCUUUGAUCCAUAGACGCCAGUUUAUGGUGAGCCAUUGUUGAGAUACCGCUCUUUUUUAUUCUGAUAGCUAACUAGCUUGAGUUAUCCUCAAGUAGGACAAUGUCUGGUGGGUAGUUUGACUGGGGCGGUCGCCUCCCAAAAUGUAACGGAGGCUUACAAAGGUUGGCUCAGAACGGUUGGAAAUCGUUCGUAGAGUAUAAAGGCAUAAGCCAGCUUAACUGCGAGACAUACACGUCAAGCAGAGACGAAAGUCGGUCUUAGUGAUCCGGUGGUUCUGUGUGGAAGGGCCAUCGCUCAAAGGAUAAAAGGUACCCCGGGGAUAACAGGCUGAUCUCCCCCAAGAGCUCACAUCGACGGGGAGGUUUGGCACCUCGAUGUCGGCUCAUCGCAUCCUGGGGCUGGAGCAGGUCCCAAGGGUAUGGCUGUUCGCCAUUUAAAGCGGUACGCGAGCUGGGUUC